rnacentral:lncRNA from 1 species
GACAAGGGACAUAUUAAAGGGCUUGAGACAAUAAAUCCUGGAAGUGGAUGAGUAUAAGAACCCCAUACAUUAACAGUGAUAUCAUAGAUGGAUUUGGGCGUCUCCUCUGCCAUUUUGUCAGGAGGAGGAGGGGGGUUCUUUAAGAAGAAGAAGAAGAAGAAGAAGAGAGCUAAACCCAGAAAGAAAACAGACCAGGAAA